AUACUUACCUGGCAGGGGAGAAUCGGUGGUCACGAUGGCCGAUCUCCCAGGACGAGGCUAUCCCAUUGCACUUCGGGUGUGCUGACGCCUGCGAUGUCCCCAAAUGCGGGAUACUCGACUGCAAAAUUUGUGGUAGUGGGGGACUGCGUUCGCGCUCUCCCCUG